UCUGUUUUAAAAAAACAAAAACUUUAUUCCAUCAUAGAAUGUUGACAUAGAAGAGGGAGUGGGGGUGGGGCUGGGGCGCUGAGCGAGCAGGUACGAGCA